UACAGCCACAGCACAUUUAAGCACCAGUUCCUGUAUAAUCACUGAAGUUAAGCAAAGUCAAGCUUGGUCAGUAUCUAGAUGGGUGACUGCUUAGGAAUAUCUGGUGCUGUAAG